UACUUGUGACAAUAACUCACCAAUAAAAGACCAGGAAAUGCAAAGGGAGAUAAAAAUAGAAAAGGAUACAUUUCAACACACACAAGAGCACAACUCGUAUGAUUUCAUACAGAUAUGAUCCAACAGCAAGCGAGGGCCAAAUCUGUGUUCACACACACUCAUGCUUGCCGUCCUCAAAUAGAAGCGUGGAAAGUCAAUUGCGCAAGUAAUGGCUCGAACUGCUCUGACAAAUCAAAGGCGCGGUCACGAUGCCAACAAUCGCUGGCAAGCGUCACGCGUCACGAGCGCCGCAACGGACAGCGACGCUCAUGACAUUUCCUCAAACAGAUUUUCAAGUCACUUUGGAUUCGUUGCGAGACUUUCCCCGAAAUGCGAACAAACGAAAAGCACGAAGCGAACGUGUCUGCGGUCUGCGACCCGCAUCGCAAGAAAAGGAGACAUGACGCGGCGACCUCUGACGGCGUCUUUGUUAAGACGUCAGAAAAUGCAACGACGACGACAAAAACAGCAGACUCCUUGGAGGAGAUAAUGAAAGAGCGAGAGAGCGUCUCCGUGGGCAGAGAGUUCUUAAUAGGAUUUACGUGUAAAUAUGUGCCAUCUGCUGUGCAGAAACGCGUCAACGGAUCGCUGUUGCGAGGAUGGAUUACAAACUGGUUAGUAAAAUAACAAGAUGCAUGCCAACCCCCCCCCACCCCACC